GAUUUCGCGUAGCCAAGCGCUCCAUCCAGCACCGACUUGCCCACACUCAGCGCCGUCGCCUCCAUAGCUCUGCAGUUAGCUGUAUUUCUCCUUGGAUUUUUGGCAGAGCCGAUGAUCCUGCAGCCGGUCUGAUUAUUGGUCCAUAUAUAUCAGAGCAAAAAAGCAACACAAGGCCAAUUUAGCUAGCAUAGAGGGUAGCAUUUAAAGUGGAGAAAGACGGGCCAGACCGGAUGAUAUUGCAUCUGGGGUCCAUAGC
rnacentral:lncRNA from 1 species